UACGUAGGGGGCAAGCGUUGUCCGGAUUUAUUGGGCGUAAAGGGCGUGUAGGCGGUCCGCUAAGUCUGAUGUGAAAGCCCGGGGCUCACCCCCGGAAGGGCAUUGGAAACUGGCGGACUCGAGUCUCGGAGAGGAAGGUGGAAUUCCUGGUGUAGCGGUGAAAUGCGUAGAUAUCAGGAGGAAUACCGGUGGCGAAGGCGGCCUUCUGGACGAUGACUGACGCUGAGACGCGAAAGCGUGGGGAGCAAACAGG
rnacentral:rRNA from 1 species